GAUUGAUGAUACAUUUGGAUCAACCACCUGAUUUCUGAUGUUCUACUGGCGACUGAAU
rfam:Tetrahymena thermophila SB210 genomic scaffold scf_8254594, whole genome shotgun sequence.